rnacentral:piRNA from 1 species
UGUUUUUCGAGACAAUUUAUGUAGCACAG